GUGGGGAAUCUUCCGCAAUGGACGAAAGUCUGACGGAGCGACGCCGCGUGAGUGAAGAAGGCCUUCGGGUCGUAAAGCUCUGUCAUCAGGGACGAACGGCCGGUGGAGUGGAAAGCCACCGGAUUGACGGUACCUGAGAAGGAAGCCACGGCUAACUACGUGCCAGCAGCCGCGGUAAUACGUAGGUGGCAAGCGUUGUCCGGAAUUAUUGGGCGUAAAGCGCGCGCAGGUGGGAUCUUAAGUCUAUUUUGAAAGUUCGGAGCUUAACUCCGUGAUGGGAUAGAAACUGGGAUUCUUGAGUACCGGAGAGGAAAGCGGAAUUCCCCGUGUAGCGGUGAAAUGCAUAGAUAUGGGGAGGAACACCAGUGGCGAAGGCGGCUUUCUGGACGGUGUCUGACACUGAGGCGCGAAAGCCAGGGGAGCGAACGGGAUUAGAUACCCCGGUAGUCC
rnacentral:rRNA from 1 species